CCUCCAGCUUACAGACAGUGAAGAACUUUCCUGGAGAGAGUGACAAUGCAGCAGCAUGUGAUGUCCUACAUGGCAUGCUCAGGUUGCUGGUGGAAAUAGUAAACAUUCUGAGAAGCAUGCAGAGAUGACACAAACAAUACCAACAGCAAAGUCUACGGGAGUUUCCAGGACUUUCUGUGGUGCAGACUCUGGAGCCAGCGUUGAGACCAUGGAGCCAGUAAUGUGGACGCUGGAGGAGCUUGCCGAAUUCAAACAGUCUUAGACAUUGCACAAACCAAAAUCAUAGAUGAAGGAGACAGUGUGUGAACUUGAGCUGCAACUGGCAGAGGAGAACCCUGUACUGGUUUAUAUUGAAAAGUCGAUGAUAAAGAAGCUGGUGGAUGGGGGCCACCCACCAAAGAGAGAUCAGUAUACCAACUGGAUAACCCGAUCACUCGUCGGUGGAGGGCACCCACCCCAGAUCUAAAGGAAUCCAAACACUUCAAGUUUGGCGUUAAGGCCUGCAGGAAGGUGCAAAGGGUCAUCUUGGAUGGUAGGUAUGUGUCACCGAGGUUCCUGGCCUCUGUGAAGUAAGAGCCGGUAUUUUCACGUGUCAGUGGCAGCUAAUGCUGAUUGACACUUUUGCUAUUUAGUAUGGCUGUAAAUAGCUGAUCCGGGACAGCUCUUAUUGGGAGUAGUCAAAGUGCUGGGUAGGUGACUACUCCCCACGUUCCAGGCUGGAUUUUGACAGCACCUGGCUAUCCAUAAAAAUGCAUCUGGGCUCAGUAGCAGAGAACGUCCUAUGUGUUGUGAUCUGAUGGCUGGGCUGAAAAGCUGAGACCCGUGUGUUGGGAGAGCAGGCCACCUAAAGCCUGCAUUUAGACUGCUGGAGGCUGAACAGCCGAAAAGGUGACGUUUUUGUUAUGCGUGAACUUUCUACUCGAUGUGAACAAACACCAACCCUGCAAAGAGUGUUUUUUGUUUUUCCCUGUC